rnacentral:rRNA from 1 species
AUUGAACGCUGGCGGCAUGCCUUACACAUGCAAGUCGAACGGCAGCACGGGAGCAAUCCUGGUGGCGAGUGGCGAACGGGUGAGUAAAGUAUCGGAACGUGCCCAGUCGUGGGGGAUAACGUAGCGAAAGUUACGCUAAUACCGCAUACGAUCUAUGGAUGAAAGCGGGGGAUCGCGAGACCUCGCGCGAUUGGAGCGGCCGAUAUCAGAUUAGGUAGUUGGUGGGGUAAAGGCUCACCAAGCCGACGAUCUGUAGCUGGUCUGAGAGGACGACCAGCCACACUGGGACUGAGACACGGCCCAGACUCCUACGGGAGGCAGCAGUGGGGAAUUUUGGACAAUGGGCGAAAGCCUGAUCCAGCCAUGCCGCGUGCAGGAUGAAGGCCUUCGGGUUGUAAACUGCUUUUGUACGGAACGAAAAGGUUUGGCCUAAUAAGCUGAGCUCAUGACGGUACCGUAAGAAUAAGCACCGGCUAACUACGUGCCAGCCGCCGCCGCAG